AAUAUUGGACAAUGGGCGAAAGCCUGAUCCAGCCAUGCCGCGCGUGUGAAGAAGGUCUUUGGAUUGUAAAGCACUUUAUGUUGGGAGGAAGGGUGGUAGGUGAAUACCCUGCUAUUUUGACGUUACCAACAGAAUAAGACCCGGCCAACUCCGGGCCCGCAGCCGCGAUAAUACGAAGGGUUCAAGCGUUAAUCGGGAUUACUGGGCGUAAAGCGUGUGUAGGCGGUUCGGAAAGAAAGAUGUGAAAUCCCAGGGCUCAACCUUGGAACUGCAUUUUUAACUGCCGAGCUAGAGUAUGGCAGGGGGUGGUGGAAUUUCCUGUGUAGCGGUGAAAUGCGUAGAUAUAGGAAGGAACAUCAGUGGCGGAGGCGACUACCUGGACUGAUACUGACACUGAGGUGCGAAAGCGUGGGGAGCAAACAGG
rnacentral:rRNA from 1 species